rnacentral:rRNA from 1 species
UCAGGAUGAACGCUGGCGGCGUGCUUAACACAUGCAAGUCGAACGGUGAAGCCUGCUAUUUAUAGUGGGUGGAUCAGUGGCGGACUGGUGAGUAACACGUAGGUGACCUGCCCCAAAGAGGAGAAUAACUUGACGAAAGUGAAGCUAAUACUCCAUGUGGUCAAUCAUUCGGUUGAUUGAUUAAAGCUAAGGCGCUUUGGGAGGGGCUUGCGGCCCAUCAGCUAGUUGGUAGGGUAAAGGCCUACCAAGGCGAAGACGGGUAGCUGGUCUGAGAGGACGAUCAGCCACAAUGGCACUGAAACACGGGCCAUACUCCUACGGGAGGCAGCAGUGAGGAAUAUUGCACAAUCGACGCAAGUCGGAUGCAGCAACGCCGCGUGGACGAUGAAGGCCUUCGGGUUGUAAAGUCCUUUUAAGAGGGACGAGGAAGGACGGUACCUCUUGAAUAAGUCUCGGCUAACUACGUGCCAGCAGCCGCGGUAACACGUAGGAGGCGAGCGUUAUCCGGAUUUAUUGGGCGUAAAGCGCAUGCAGGUGGCUAGGUAAGUCGGGUGUGAAAGCCCCGGACUUAAUCCGGGGAGGUCAUUCGAUACUGCUUGGCUUGAGAGCGGGAGAGGGAAGUGGAAUUCUCGGUGUAGUGGUGAUAUGCGUAGAUAUCGAGAGGAACACCAGUGGCGAAGGCGGCUUCCUGGCCCGUAUCUGACACUAAGAUGCGAAAGCGUGGGUAGCAAACGGACUUAGAUACUCCGGUAGUCCACGCUGUAAACGAUGGGUACUAGGUGUAGGGGGUGUAAAACUCUCUGUGCCAUAGUUAACGCACUAAGUACCCCGCCUGGGGACUACGGUCGCAAGGCUAAAACUCAAAGGAAUUGACGGGGGCCCGCACAAGCAGCGGAGCGUGUGGUUCAAUUCGAAGAUACACGAAGAACCUUACCUGGGCUUGACAUGAUGGUUAUUAUGAAGCAAAAGCGGAACGAUCCUUCGGGAAGCCAUCACAG